rnacentral:sRNA from 1 species
GCAACGGCCCGAAGGGCGAGGAGCGAUAGCGACGAGUUAUCCUUCCCCCACCACCA